rnacentral:rRNA from 1 species
UCCGUAGGUGAACCUGCGGAGGGAUCAUUACCGAGUUUACAACUCCCAAACCCCUGUGAACAUACCUUAAUGUUGCCUCGGCGGAUCAGCCCGCGCCCCGUAAAACGGGACGGUCCGCCAGAGGACCCAAACUCUAAUGUUUCUUAUUGUAACUUCUGAGUAAAACAAACAAAUAAAUCAAAACUUUCAACAACGGAUCUCUUGGUUCUGGCAUCGAUGAAGAACGCAGCAAAAUGCGAUAAGUAAUGUGAAUUGCAGAAUUCAGUGAAUCAUCGAAUCUUUGAACGCACAUUGCGCCCGCUGGUAUUCCGGCGGGCAUGCCUGUUCGAGCGUCAUUUCAACCCUCAAGCCCCCGGGUUUGGUGUUGGGGAUCGGCUCUGCCCUUCUGGGCGGUGCCGCCCCCGAAAUACAUUGGCGGUCUCGCUGCAGCCUCCAUUGCGUAGUAGCUAACACCUCGCAACUGGAACGCGGCGCGGCCAUGCCGUAAAACCCCAACUUCUGAAUGCUGACCUCGGAUCAGGUAGGAAUACCCGCUGAGCUUAAGCAUAUCAAUAAGCGGAGGA